ensembl:lncRNA
AUAUCAAAAAGGCACUGGCAUCGGGUUUGGUUCAGUCAUUUGCCUGUUUGAAAGACUCCUCAAGCAGUGGCAGCGAAAUAUGGUACACCCCAGGACGGAGCCAACGGCCAGCCACUGGAUUCCUGGAGGAAAGGCUGCAGAAUGUCAGGAAGCGGCUGAGAUCAACCAGCAAGUCGCGGAGCAUGGCACAGACGACACCAGCACAAAUGCCAAAUGAUGGCGCUCUUGCCAGGGCUCUCAUACCAGAAUGUACCAUAUCAGAUGAAUGUGCGUCACAGUUUAAAGAAUGGUUGAGAAACAAUUCUCAGCCCCUCAGCCAGAUAGAGACCUACAUGCAGAACACAGCAGUCUACAGGGCCAAGAGGAUUAGGGACAACAAUUGGACCAUCGAUCAGAUCCUCGAAGAGUUCCCUCGCUUAAUGACCAAAGGCAUGAUUGCACAGGACUUUCUUGUCCUAUAUGGGGAUGCUGCAUCAAAGUUGUUUGAAACUUGGCUACCCAUUUAUGCUGAGAAGAUCCUGUACCUGGCAAGACAGGAGGGGAAGCUAACAUUGCCCCUGGAUGGAUUAACACCAGAUGGUGUUGGGGAACUCGCCCUGAGACAGUUGCCAGCCUUGCUUCCACCUACAACUUACAAAGUUGGCCGUGGACGCGGUGUGAAAGUAGUUCGCCACACCAUUCAGGAAUGCAGCUUGGCCUUCAUCAACCAUAAGCCUGUAAGUCCUCAAGCACAUCUAAAGGGGAAACUUUAUUCAUUUUAUCAACAUAUCUGAGCUCAGCACGCACACAUGCAUAUCCAGGUUUGUUUUACUAUACUUUUGGGGACAGGCAUCAAAUAUAGCCUGACAGUAUUAGCUGUUCUAAAAGCUUACAACUCGUUGGUCACUAUCAAAGCAUCCUAGAACACCUCAGCAGUGCCACAGGCUGAUUACCUCUGUACCACACCGCACUGAUGCAGUCAUUUGUUCAAAGUAUUGAGUGCAGAAAUUAACAUUUAUCAGAAGGUUGACACUUUUGUAUUUUAACCCAUUUGGACCUGACUCCAUAAGGUUGACUCUAAAGAAGUCUUCUAAAUCUACAAAGCAUUUGCGGCCCACCUAUCUGACCACCUAACCCUGCUGCCUGUCGGUCAGAUAGGAUAGUGAGAUAGGUGGGCCGCACGCAUUUUCUGAGCAUGUUUAUUGUAAUGUUAGAUCAUCAAUCAAUUUCUGGCUUUUUAGGUCAAUUGAGGUCUGAAUCCUUUUUUUAAUUGUUUUCUGUAAUGUAAGCUAUAUGCUCUAAGACUUAGUCAAAAAAGGUUUGGAAUAUUUCGUUAUGUGCAAUGAAAUGUAGACUAUUACAGUUCAACUUUUUGAAGUAGAAAUGCACUGAAUCUUUUCCAAAUUGUAAAGCUAACUAGACUUUAUCAUAAAACAAUUAUUUCUCUAGUGAGGACCAGGAAAAUGGUCCUCACAAUGUCUGUAUUUUAAUUCUACUAUAGUAGUCGGUAGACAUUUGGUCCUUACUCACUCGCUCUCUCGCUCUCUUGUAUUUUCUUUUUUAGCCUGGAAUAAACAUGGUGUACCAUGAGGCCA